GAUGGAGGGUGCUACUGCGGGGAGGGGAGGGGAGACAGGAGCAGGGAUCUGAAUGAAGAGAGGGAGCAAGCUAGGUGAGGUGUAAAGAAGCCUGUUCGAGGUAGAGGGAACAGCAGGAGCCUAGGCCUUGGGCUGGAACGUCCCUGGCAAGUUGAAGAUCAAGGCCAGAGCGGCUGGCCAGUGAGAGCGAGGAGAACGUUGACUAGAUCUCUGUCAUUCAGUGUAUUAAUGGUGAUUCCACCAGAAAUUGCCUAGACUCCUUGAAAUUUGGGACCUCUGAAAAAAAGAGCUUGAGGCUGAGUGUGCCAUUCAAAUUAGGAGAAUUGGAGACAAACUGAAUUUCCGGCAGAAACUUCUGAAUCUCAUAGCCAAACUCUUCCGCUCAGGAACCUGACUGCUCCAGGAGCCUCUGGAUGAGGAGACCCCCUUAAAAUGGAAGGUGUUGAUCCCCAUCAAUUAGAGGAGAGACUGUCUUGACGUGGAGAGCAAUGUGAAGGCACUCUUGUUCGCUUUUGGAUGCCCUUGGAAACGAAGAUAGAAUACGUCAAAAAUGAAUUUCUGUUGGAGGUUUCCCAGAAGUCAUUCUUUGGGAUAUGAGAACAUUGUAAAACCACUUUGUUUAUUUUAAAACAAGAAUGGAGGAACUUUGAAAAUAGGGAAUUAAGUAUGUAUACAUUUUGUUUUGCUUAGGGAAUCGUUGUAGUAUUUUUGCUGAAAGUUGCUGCUCAGCCUAGCAUAAAGAGGAGUUGACAAAUGGUUAGACUUGGUGGGGUCAGCAAACGGAGGAUGUUCAGUGUUUGCUUCUACUUUUGGAUGACGACUCCAGAACAGUGUAUAUUUGGUUUAUAUAUAUAAUUUUUUUAAAAGUAAAAGUUUCCUUCUGAGAACACUGAAUGUCAUAGUGAAUGUCGAUUUUAUAGGUCACUACAAAUUAUAAAAUAACCUGGUAGUUUGUUUCUUUUGACUCAAAAUGUAUUGCUUCUGUUCAGAGGACCUUUCAUUAAAUGUGUUCCUGUGGGCCACAACUGGAAAGUGUCUACUUUGAAAAAACUCGAUAGACGUAUAGGAAUGUUACUUGGUGCCAGUAAAAUUCUUGCAGGUUGAAUAUUGAAGGAUAAAGAGUAUGGGGAUUUUUGCACAACCAGGAAUAAUGAAAAAAAAAUGAAUUCGAUUUUUUACUGUUGUAAUUAAAACUUUGCAAAACAAAUGUUCUAUAGUAACUGUUGGUAAGGAGAUGAACGUGUUUCCUACAGAAGUUUUUAAAAUCUAUAAAAUGCCCUUUCUCAUGCUAGUCAACUAGUAAGCAGCCUAUAUAAAGUGAUCUUUUAGGAGAAAUUAAGCAUGUUUCAUAAUUGGGAUUUACUUUUUUUUUUUUUAAAAAAGGAACAGAUUGCUCAUCCAGAAUGAAAAUCCAUUUACAUACAUGAAUAUAUAUACACAUAUAUAAUUUGCAUUAGAGUAAUAUUAAUAUGUAGAGUCUGAGAAGAGUUUCACGUAUUUCAUUUUUUAAAAAUUAUUAAGAGGCCAGGCUAUCAAAAAAGUCCCCAAAUAUAUGAAAAAGAAGUAAUAAUGUCAUGAUUAAAUUUCAGCAGGAAUAAUUUUAUUUAUUUUACCUAUUUAUAAUUAAAAUAUUUUUUGUUUAGUUUAAAAUGUCUGUUAGUGAAAAGUUCAGUUUUGGGUUAUGAGACUAGGGUUUCAUAACUACUUGAACUCUUACAGUAAGAAUGUUUUAAUAUAGGCUGUAGUCACUUUAGACGAAAAAUUACCUCAGCAUCUGUUUUCCUUCAGUAUUACUUAAAGCUGUUAGUUUAUUUAGUUGCAAAGUUUUUGUUUUUUUUGCUCUCUCUGCCUAGAGGCAGAUACUUUGCUAUAUGGAUAUUUAUGGCCUGUAACUCUAUUUAUACAUAUAUAUUCAUUAAACCUGAUACUGUAGCUGUAAACUAUUAAAAAUUAUUACCACUCUU
rnacentral:lncRNA from 1 species